rnacentral:rRNA from 1 species
UACGUAGGGGGCUAGCGUUGUUCGGAGUUACUGGGCGUAAAGGGCGCGUAGGCGGCGCACCAAGUCAGGCGUGAAAGCCCUGGCUCAACCCGGGAAUUGCGCUUGAGACUGGUGUGCUUGAGUACGGGAGAGGAUAGUGGAAUUCCCAGUGUAGAGGUGAAAUUCGUAGAUAUUGGGAAGAACACCGGUGGCGAAGGCGGCUAUCGUGGACCGUAACUGGACGCUGAGGCGCGAAAGCGUGGGGAGCAAACAGG